GGAAUAUUGCACAAUGGGCGAAAGCCUGAUGCAGCGACGCCGCGUGAGGGAUGACGGCCUUCGGGUUGUAAACCUCUUUCAGUAGGGAAGAAGCGAAAGUGACGGUACCUGCAGAAGAAGCGUCGGCUAACUCUGUGCCAGCAGCCGCGGUAAGACAGAGGAUGCAAGCGUUAUCCGGAAUGAUUGGGCGUAAAGAGCUCGUAGGCGGUUUGUCGCGUCUGCCGUGAAAGUCCGAGGCUCAACUUCGGAUCUGCGGUGGGUACGGGCAGACUAGAGUGAUGUAGGGGAGACUGGAAUUCCUGGUGUAGCGGUGAAAUGCGCAGAUAUCAGGAGGAACACCGAUGGCGAAGGCAGGUCUCUGGGCAUCUACUGACGCUGAGGAGCGAAAGCAUGGGGAGCGAACAGGAUUAGAUACCCCGG
rnacentral:rRNA from 1 species